rnacentral:rRNA from 1 species
UACGUAGGGUGCGAGCGUUAAUCGGAAUACUGGGCGUAAAGCGUGCGCAGGCGGUGAUGUAAGACCGAUGUGAAAUCCCCGGGCUCAACCCGGGAACUGCGUCCGAUACUGGAAGGCUUGAAUCCGGGAGAGGGAUGCGGAAUUCCAGGUGUAGCGGUGAAAUGCGUAGAUAUCUGGAGGAACACCGGUGGCGAAGGCGAGUCCCUGGACAACUUCUGACGCUGAGGCACGAAAGCCAGGGGAGCAAACGGGG